GUGCUCACUUCGGCAGUUCAUCUACUAAAAUUGGACCAAUGCAGAGAAGGUUGGCAUGUCCCCUGCACAGGGAUGACAUGCAGAUUCGUGAAGGAAGUCGUGUGGUC
ensembl:snRNA U6 U6 spliceosomal RNA